CAUGGCCACCACCACAGGCUUACUAUCCUGCUUCUAACUAUCUCCUGCAGUUCAUCCUCCGCCUGGGUAUCCACUUGUUGGCUAUCCAAAGCAAUCCAUUUAGGCCUUAAAGUUCGUGACAGACCUCCUAAGAAGCUCAAAUUCAAGAACGCUCAAUGAGGACACUGGAUGAGAAGGAGACGACCCAGGUGUUCGAGAAGCUUUUCAAGUUCACCGGCAACAACCUCAAGAACAUUGUUGAGAGCCCCUCCCACGAGGGCCCUGACCCGGACCCAGGCCGCUACUGCUUCCGUCUCUGCAAGAACCGGGUCUACUAUGUUAGCGAGUCACUGGUAAAGCGUGCCACCAACAUUGGCCGCCACAACCUGGCGUCCCUAGGCACCUGCAUCGGCAAGUUUACCAAGGGUGGGAGCUUCCACCUGACAAUCCAGGCGCUGAGCAUUUUGGCCGCCAACGCGAAGCACAAGGUCUGGCUCAAGCCCACCUCGGAGAUGUCAUUCCUUUACGGGAAUCACGUGUUGAAGGGUGGAUUGGGGAGGAUCACCGAAAACAUCAAUCGAGGUGAUGGCGUGGUGGUUUUUUCAAUGUCUGACAUUCCUUUGGGAUUUGCGAUUUCACAAAGGUCAACACAGGAUUGUAGGAAGUUGGAUCCAAACGGGCUUGUCGUGCUUCAUCAGGCCGAUAUUGGGGAGUACUUGAGGAUGGAGGAUGAGCUUUGAAUGAGGGUUUGCUUAUACAUUGGGUUGUUCUGCUCCGAUUGUUCAGAUCUUUGUCCAUCCAUCUUCUUCAAUAGACAACAAGAGCAAGGAAUUUUCAAGUUCUCCAAGCCAAGCUUCAUUUGAUGUCACAGAACCUCCAUGCACUCAAGAACCUGUAAUUGGUGGUGGACUGUGAAGUUGCAAACUGGAAAAUGCUAGUGGAUAUUCAGUGCAUGCUGUUAGAUGAGGAUGUUGAGUUGUAGACCAGAAAGUGCUGGUUUUGAUGUUGUUUCUAAGUGGAUUUGGCUAUGUACCAUGGGUUGAGUUGUGCUGCCGUGUUGGGACGUUUGUCUUUGCCAUCAAAUAAUGUGGAUCAGUUUGUCUAAUGCUAUUUAGUUUGCUUUCAUUAAA